rnacentral:lncRNA from 1 species
AUCAUUAUAUUACUUGAGCAAUUUCGUGCACUUGCGAAAUAGGCUAACAGCUCCUUUCGAACUCCAUAAGCUGAGGGUAGAAGUGGCUUAGCUCGUUAAAUUUGUUGGCAUAUUCCAGUACUGUCAUAUCAUCCUUUUGCUUCAAAGUCAGGAACUCAUUCUCUUUUACUAAUCUCAUUGUCUCAAGAAAGUACUGAUCAUAAAAUAUCCCUUUGAACUCCUCUCAAGUCAG